rnacentral:rRNA from 1 species
AUUGAACGCUGGCGGCAUGCCUUACACAUGCAAGUCGAACGGCAGCGGACCUUCGGGUGCCGGCGAGUGGCGAACGGGGUGAGUAAUAUAUCGGAACGUACCUUUCAGUGGGGGGAUAACGUAGCGAAAGUUACGCGUAAUACCGCAUAUUCUGUGAGCAGGAAAGCAGGGGGAUCGCAAGACCUUGCGCUGAUUGAGCGGCCGAUAUCAGAUUAGCUAGUUGGUGAGGUAAAGGCUCACCAAGGCGACGAUCUGUAGCGGGUCUGAGAGGAUGAUCCGCCACACUGGAACUGAGACACGGUCCAGACUCCUACGGGAGGCAGCAGUGGGGAAUUUUGGACAAUGGGCGCAAGCCUGAUCCAGCCAUGCCGCGUGAGUGAAGAAGGCC